GACGAACGCUGGCGGCGUGCUUAACACAUGCAAGUCGAACGGAAAGGCCCUGCUUUUGUUGGGUGCUCGAGUGGCGAACGGGUGAGUAACGCGUGAGUAACCUGCCCUUGACUUUGGGAUAACUUCAGGAAACUGGGGCUAAUACCGCAUAGGAGCUCCUGCUGCAUGGUGGGGGUUGGAAAGGGUCGGCGGUUGGGGAUGGACUCGCGGCGUCUCAGCUUGUUGGUGGGGUAGUGGCUUACCACGGCGUUGACGGGUAGCCGGCCUGGGAGGGGGACCGGCCACACUGGGACUGGAAUGAGGCCCAGACUCCAACGGGAGGCAGGGGUGGGGAAGGUGGCACAAUGGGCGGAAGGAAGAUGCAGUAACGCCGCGUGGGGGAGGACGAGAUGCGGGUUGGAAACCGAUUUCCUCUGGGACGAGGCGUGAGUGACGGUAAUGGGUAAAGAAGCACCGGCUAACUACGUG
rnacentral:rRNA from 1 species